UACGGAGGGUGCAAGCGUUAUUCGGAAUUACUGGGUUUAAAGGGUGCGUAGGCGGAUUAGUAAGUCAGGGGUGAAAGGUCACGGCUCAACCGUGGAAUGGCCUUUGAUACUGCUGAUCUUGAAUCAGGAUGAGGUUGGCAGAAUGUGGAAUGUAGCGGUGAAAUGCAUAGACAUGCCAUAGAACACCGAUUGCGAAGGCAGCUGGCUAGACCUUGAUUGACGCUGAGGCACGAAAGCGUCGGGAGCGAACAGG
rnacentral:rRNA from 1 species